GACGAACGCUGGCGGCGUGCUUAACACAUGCAAGUCGAACGAUGAACCCGGAGCUUGCUCCGGCGGAUUAGUGGCGAACGGGUGAGUAACACGUGAGUAACCUGCCCUUGACUCUGGGAUAACUGCGGGAAACUGUAGCUAAUACCGGAUACGACCCUCGGCGGCAUCGCCAGGGGGUGGAAAGAAUUUCGGUCAAGGAUGGACUCGCGGCCUAUCAGCUAGUUGGUGAGGUAACGGCUCACCAAGGCGACGACGGGUAGCCGGCCUGGGAGGGUGACCGGCCACACGGGGACUGAGACACGGCCCAGACUCCUACGGGAGGCAGCAGUGGGGAAUAUUGCACAAUGGGCGCAAGCCUGAUGCAGCAACGCCGCGUGAGGGAUGACGGCCUUCGGGUUGUAAACCUCUUUUAGUAGGGAAGAAGCGAAAGUGACGGUGCCUGCAGAAAAAGCACCGGCUAACUACGUGCCAGCCGCCGCCGUAA
rnacentral:rRNA from 1 species